rnacentral:piRNA from 1 species
UGCCAAGUUUGACAGACCCAGAGUUCA